rnacentral:rRNA from 1 species
UACGGAGGGUGCAAGCGUUGCUCGGAAUUAUUGGGCGUAAAGCGUAUGUAGGCGGUUUUCUAAGUCUGAUGUGAAAUCCCGGGGCUUAACUCCGGAACUGCAUUGGAUACUGGAAAGCUAGAGGACGAUAGAGGAUGGUGGAAUUCCUGGUGUAGGGGUGAAAUCCGUAGAUAUCAGGAGGAACAUCAGUGGCGAAGGCGGCCAUCUGGAUCGUACCUGACGCUGAGAUACGAAAGCGUGGGGAGCAAACAGG